rnacentral:rRNA from 1 species
CGCCUGUUUAUCAAAAACAUCGCCUCUUGAAAUUAAUAAGAGGUCCAGCCUGCCCAGUGACCACAGUUCAACGGCCGCGGUAUCCUAACCGUGCGAAGGUAGCGUAAUCACUUGUUCUUUAAAUGGGGACUAGUAUGAAUGGCAUCACGAGGGUUAUACUGUCUCCUUUUUCCAAUCAGUGAAACUAAUCUCCCCGUGAAGAAGCGGGGAUAAGACCAUAAGACGAGAAGACCCUAUGGAGCUUUAAAUUUCUCUUCAAACGCCGGCUAAUUUAGUAAGUCAUAGACCCCUUCCCCCUUAACCCUAGCGCCAUGAAGACGACUUUUAGGUUGGGGUGACCGCGGAGUACAAAAAAACCUCCACAUUGAACUAGGCUCCCAAGCCCUGAGCAAAGGGCCACAACCCCAUGCACUAAAAAACUAACAUCCAUUGACCCAAUACCUUUUGAUCAACGAACCAAGUUACCCUAGGGAUAACAGCGCAAUCCACUUCAAGAGUCCAUAUCGACAAGUGGGUUUACGACCUCGAUGUUGGAUCAGGGUAUCCCAGUGGUGCAGCCGCUACUAAUGGUUCGUUUGUUCAACGAUUAAAACCCU